CCAAGGGUUGGGCUGUUCGCCCAUUAAAGCGGUACGCGAGCUGGGUUCAGAACGUCGUGAGACAGUUCGGUCCCUAUCCGUCGUGGGCGUAGGAAAUUUGAGAGGAGCUGUCCUUAGUACGAGAGGACCGGGAUGGACAUACCUCUGGUGUACCAGUUGUCGUGCCAACGGCAUAGCUGGGUAGCUAUGUGUGGACGGGAUAAGUGCUGAAAGCAUCUAAGCAUGAAGCCCCCCUCAAGAUGAGAUUUCCCAACUUCGGUUAUAAGAUCCCUCAAAGAUGAUGAGGUUAAUAGGUUCGAGGUGGAAGCAUGGUGACAUGUGGAGCUGACGAAUACUAA
rnacentral:rRNA from 1 species